rfam:Lepisosteus oculatus linkage group LG9, whole genome shotgun sequence.
GCCAGCAGCCAUAUCACCCUGCAACUUACAACUUGCAGCCCACUGAAGCUCAGCAGGUUUGAGCCUGGUCAGUACCUGGAUGGGAGACCUCCUGUGAAAAACUAAGGUUGCUGCUGGAA